rnacentral:rRNA from 1 species
CCUACGGGAGGCAGCAGUGGGGAAUAUUGGGCAAUGGGCGCAAGCCUGACCCAGCAACGCCGCGUGAAGGAAGAAGGCUUUCGGGUUGUAAACUUCUUUUGUCAGGGACGCAGCAAGUGACGGUACCUGACGAAUAAGCCACGGCUAACUACGUGCCAGCAGCCGCGGUAAUACGUAGGUGGGAAGCGUUAUCCGGAUUUAUUGGGUGUAAAGGGCGUGUAGGCGGGAAUGCAAGUCAGAUGUGAAAACUAUGGGCUCAACCCAUAGCCUGCCUUUGAAACUGUAUUUCUUGAGUGCUGGAGAGGCAAUCGGAAUUCCGUGUGUAGCGGUGAAAUGCGUAGAUAUACGGAGGAACACCAGUGGCGAAGGCGGAUUGCUGGACAGUAACUGACGCUGAGGCGCGAAAGCGUGGGGAGCGAACAGGAUUAGAUACCCCGGUAGUC